rnacentral:tRNA from 1 species
AAAUAAGAAACAAAUUAUUGUAUUUAGUUUCGACCUAAAAAUCUGGUGACCGGCACCCUUAUUUA